rnacentral:lncRNA from 1 species
AACUUUUAUUUAUUUUUAAAGAUUUUAUUUAUUUAUUCAUGAGAGAGAGAGAGAGAGACAGGGAGGGAGAGAGAGAGAGAGACAGAGAGGCACAGACACAGGCAGAGGGAGAAGCAGGCUCCGUGCAGGGAGCCUGACGUGGGACUCGAUCCUGAGUCUCCAGGAUCACGCCCUGGGCUGAAGGUGGCGCUAAAACGCUAAGCCACCCAGGCUGCCUGGGUACGGACUUUUACAGCAGCCUCCCCGCACUCAAAGGUGGCAGGUGGCAGGGCAAGCAGCUCAUUGCUGUCCAUCUCCUGCCUCUCCCCAUCAUGUCCCUCAGAACACAGUCUUUGGGUUUGUCAAGGGCCUGUUCUUGCCAGGCCCUAAGGUGGGUGGGCACUGCAGGGAUCAUGUCAGAGGACUAGGGAAGCAGACCCUUUCUGCAGGUCAACCACCCUCUGCUUGCACACCUCCAGGGACUAGGAGCUCACUACAACCCACACAGGCUAGGCCCACUUUACUCCCCUGCAGCCUUUCCCCUACCACCCUAAAUCCUAUCUCAAAUUCUGUCCAAGGGUGCAGCUCUUGGGCGACAGAUUCCAUCCUCUCGCCCCUUCCAUCUGUGGGCAUUCAAAAAGCCUUUUCACCUGCUCAGGCAUAGACCACACUCAGGCCUUUCCGACAGGCAGGUGAGGUGGUAUUUAUAACCAAGGAAUAAUUGGAUGUUAAUUCCUUUCUGCAGAAGAGUGACUGGAGUUUCAAUUUCUUCCUCUGCGAACUCUCAAGUGGGGCUAGCUGCAGCUGAGAGGCUAUGACUGACAUGCACGCACGGCCCAGGCUCACCCGCCCCCUCAGCCCCCACAGUGAUUCUUGUAAGGGCCUCAGAAGCCAUCAGCCCCCAACUCCCUUCCUCCCCAAUUCUACCACCAACCAGUGGCCAUCCUCACUUCAGGCGAGCAAGCCUCUUCCUGCCAGGUGUGGGAUUCCACAUUAUAAUCUAGCCUUGUCCAGGGGUGCCUGGCUGGCUCAGUAGGUAGUGUGUGACUCUUGAUCUCAGUGUUAUAUUCGAGCCCCACACUGGGUGUAGAGAUCACUUAAAAAAAAAAAAAAAAAGUCUUAAGAAAAAAGAAUCUAGCCUAGUCCUGUCAGUCUGGUCACUGGUCCUUAAGGCAGGAAGGAGCCGCUGAUACAUCACCCCAAAAACUUCAGAAGCACUACUUCCACACACGAAUGGCUGACAAGGCCCAGCUCUCAGACACACCAGUGAGCCCUGAGCACCACCCACCACCACCCCUCGCCCACCUCCAGCCUCCCUCCUCAACCCCUCCUCUCAGAUAAGCCACCUACUCAGACCUCCACCCUGCUGCUGACCUCAAGAGAGACUUUGGUCCACUGACAGGCAAUAACCCGGCUGAGUCUCUUGGCAAAGAUCCAUUUCCUAGGGGGAGGAAGAGUGUGAGCCCACGCCUGAUGAGCACCUGGGCUCCACACCCACUCCCACCACAGGUGAACUGUA